rnacentral:lncRNA from 1 species
GGACUGAAUUUCUAAGAAAAUCGUCAUCCUAACCAGUCCAAAUCUCAGAAAAGAGCAAUAAUUAUCUUUUUGUCCAACAAAUAAUCUGAAAUCAUUUUGUUUUGUGGCAACAUAGCCUUUCUUCCAUGGAUCUGACUGUUGGAAGCCAUAUGUCUAAGACAGUUGGAAGCUACUGAUUCUCCUGGCAGAACUAAUCACAGAAGAUGUAUAUUAUAAGAUCAGAUUAUGUCCUAACAGGAGCAGAAAUUACUAUCGCAUGUUUAAAAGAAAGAUGAGAAACAUCUUCUCAACUGAGAUGUGAUUGUUAAGUAUUACCUUAAUUGAGGAUUUGGAUUCAGAAGAACAAAGAAAAAUAACAAUCAUGGUUCAAAUGAAAAGGUAAAUGCAAGGCCUGUUGCAGUUUCUGAAGGUCGAUGUGAACUACAUGAUUAAUCAAAGUAAACAGAAGUGAAGCUACACAUUUUUACCCAAGGUGAGUUUAAACUUCAGCUUUUUUAAACUAGCAUAACCCAGCUACACUGGUUUUUCACUCAG